CAGUAGCCGCGGUAAUACGAAGGGUGCAAGCGUUACUCGGAAUUACUGGGCGUAAAGCGUGCGUAGGUGGUGGUUUAAGUCCGUUGUGAAAGCCCUGGGCUUAACCUGGGAAUUGCAGUGGAUACUGGGUCACUAGAGUGUGGUAGAGGAUAGUGGAAUUUCCGGUGUAGCAGUGAAAUGCGUAGAGAUCGGAAGGAACAUCUGUGGCGAAGGCGACUAUCUGGGCCAACACUGACACUGAGGCACGAAAGCGUGGGGAGCAAACAGGAUUAGAUACCCCCGUAGUCCCUGUCUCUUAUAC
rnacentral:rRNA from 1 species